GGGGCUAUAGCGCAGUUGGUAGCGCAUCUCAAUGGCAUUGAGAGGGUCAGCGGUUCGAAUCCGCUUAGCUCCA
rfam:Oscillatoriales cyanobacterium CG2_30_44_21 cg2_3.0_scaffold_5244_c, whole genome shotgun sequence.